UCACGUCAAAUGCGUUGGCUCUAUUGG
rnacentral:sRNA from 1 species